GACGGGGGGGGCAAGCGUUGUCCGGAAUUACUGGGCGUAAAGCGCGCGUAGGCGGUCGCCUACGGCGGAGGUGAAAGCUCCCGGCUCAACUGGGAGAGGCCCUCCGCAACGGGGCGACUCGAGGGAGGUAGAGGCGGAUGGAAUUCCUGGUGUAGCGGUGAAAUGCGUAGAGAUCAGGAGGAACACCCGUGGCGAAGGCGGUCCGCUGGGCCUCGCCUGACGCUGUGGCGCGAAAGCACGGGGAG
rnacentral:rRNA from 1 species